rfam:Termitomyces sp. J132 unplaced genomic scaffold scaffold361, whole genome shotgun sequence.
GCCCGUGUAGCUCAGUGGUAGAGCAUUGUACUUAUGUGGUUAUCUGAAGCCUUGCGAGAUGCAAGGGUCCCGAGUUCGAUCCUCGGCGUGGGCA